UCCAUUGACUAAAUUUUCAGAGGUGAUUGCAAUGGGUGAUUCCCCUGUUACUCUGGUAUUGCUAGUCUGGUGCUUACUGUCAGUGAUAUACACAGCAUGCCAGUCUUGGAGCUCAACUUUCAAGAGCCAAUUAAGAGGCAUGUCAUGGGUGAUUUAAUAAGCUUAUUAGGCUUCUUUUUAAACAAACAAUUAAUUUAUUCUUUAUUUUUGCUGUCAUUUUGAUGGCCUGUCUAUGCUUUUUGUUUUCAAAGGCCAUAUUAUUUUCAUAAUUAUGGCCUUCAAUGUUUAAUUGUAAUAUCCCUUAUAAUCCACAGUGAUUACUCGUAAAAGAGAAAUCAAUAUAGAACAAACAGUAGAUGUGGGUAAAUGUAUGUGCAUUGACUUGAACAGUCACCUGCAAAAGUUUAAAGUCAGGUUGCUCAAUGGAUUGAAUAAUCUCAGUUGGAAAGCAGCACUAAGUGUGUUCAUAUGCCCCUCACUCAUCCAGUAUACGUAAAUGUAACCAAAUGUAGUAUAUGUAACCAACACACUCUCAGACUUUAGCGCAAUAAGUUAAUAUGUUGUGUUAUGCUGUUGAGUUGAGACUGUGAAUUGAACGAUUAUUAAAAUGAGCAAGCUAGAGACAACUAUUGCAGUGUUUAUAAUUUGUGGUAAUUGCAGCAUGAUGUUGCAAAAGAACAUAAAUAAUGCUCCUCUCAAUGUUUCUAUCUAUGCCUUUCGUUCAUCUCUUAGUCUCUCUGAAAUUAAGCAGCAGAGCAUGGCACAAGCACUGCUGCUUACGUUUAUAAUGGAGUCAUCAGUGGGUUUCAGACAGAGGCAACUCCUGUCCCUUAUGCACAUAUGUUUUGGUAUUUUCAAGACUGUUCCUGUCAUACCAAAGCCAAGGCUCACUGGCCCCUCAUGGUAUUGAAGCUUGCUCACCAAUUACUCAGAGUGGAUGAUACAUUUUCUGGAUUUUGUCAGGUGCCAUCUGUCUUGCCCUAAUCAUGGUAUGAAAGGUCACAGCAAAUUUAAUAACAAGCUGCUCAAGAAUGUGUCCCAGCUAGUGUCGCAACAUACCCCCUGGGUUCAUUCUUAAGACUGGGAAAACAUGGGGAAGGCAGGAAAUGGAAAUUCAAGACGAUGAGCAAACCGAGAACAAGAUGAAAGCAGGAGCCAAUGUUUCAACAAGUGGACUUGUCUUCUUCAAGGCGACAUAUGCUUUCCUCGCCACAGUUACAGAUAUUAAGAAUCAAUUUGGUUGAUGCCCAGCCUGAUACUCCGUGAUUAUACUGAUAGAUAUGCAUACAAUUGUUUAUCCUUUUUCUGUGGAUUGCAUUUCACCUACUAACAAUUGAAAGAUAUCAGUCAACGUGAGAUGCAAAUAGUGUUGUACUUUGCGGAAGGUAUG